CUCCUACGGGAGGCAGCAGUGGGGAAUAUUGCACAAUGGGGGGAACCCUGAUGCAGCGACGCCGCGUGGGUGAAGAAGUCAUUCGUGACGUAAAGCCCUAUCAGCAGGGAAGAAAAUGACGGUACCUGACUAAGAAGCCCCGGCUAACUACGUGCCAGCAGCCGCGGUAAUACGUAGGGGGCAAGCGUUAUCCGGAUUUACUGGGUGUAAAGGGAGCGUAGACGGCGGCGCAAGUCCGGAGUGAAAGCCCACGGCCCAACCGUGGGACUGCAUUGGGAACUACCGGGCUGGAGUGCCGGAGAGGG
rnacentral:rRNA from 1 species